GCUGUAAUAGUCCAGUUGGUGGACACGCCGUCUAUAUAUGGAGGGGGCGUCUCGAGUUCAACUCUCGAUGCAGCA